GCCUGAGUGGCGGAAUUGGUAGACGCAAGGGACUUAAAAUCCCUUGGGGUUCGUCCCCGUGUCGGUUCGAGUCCGACCUCAGGCA
rnacentral:tRNA from 1 species